ACCUUACCAGGGCUUGACAUGUCACAAAUCUUCCUGAAAGGGAAGAGUGCCUUCGGGAAUGUGAACGCAGGUGGUGCAUGGCUGUCGUCAGCUCGUGUCGUGAGAUGUUGGGUUAAGUCCCGCAACGAGCGUAACCCUUGUCUUUAGUUGCCAUCAUUUAGUUGGGCACUUUAAAGAGACUGCCGGUGAUAAACCGGAGGAAGGUGAGGACGACGUCAAGUCAGCAUGCCCCUUACGCCCUGGGCUACACACGUACUACAAUGGCCGAGACAAAGAGUCGCAAGUUUGCAAAGACAAGCUAAUCUCAUAAACUCGGUCUCAGUUCGGAUUGUAGGCUGCAACUCGCCUACAUGAAGUUGGAAUCGCUAGUAAUCGCCGGUCAGCUAUACGGCGGUGAAUCCGUUCCCGGGCCUUGUACACACCGCCCGUCACACCAUGGAAGCUGUUCAUGCCCAAAGUCGUUACCNUAACCGCAAGGAGAGGNGC
rnacentral:rRNA from 1 species